UGGAGGAGAGGAGGGGCAGGUCGUCACUGGAGGAGAGGAGGGGCAGGUCGUCGCUGUGGAGAAGAUGGGAGGGGCCGCCGCCGGAGGAGGAGAGGAGGGGCCGCCGCCGCCAGAGGAGAGGAGGUGCAGGUCGUCGCUGGAGGGGAGGAGGUGCAGGUCGUCCCUGGGGAGAAGAAGGGCGGCAGUAGCUGGGGAGAGGAGGGACAAGUCGUCGCUCGGGAGAAGAGUCCAAAUCUUCCUGUGUGUGUAACUGAAAUCGGCAUGAGUGCUCUACUCUAAAAAUUGAGAACUCUGUUGUGUCUCACAAUUUUCAGUGUUGUGGGAUGACAGAAAUUGGUAAGGGAAUACCUCAAGUUGGUAUGAGGUUCAGAAGUGUAGAUGAGGCCUCGACAUAUUGGAAUGCAUAUGAAGGUCACACCGGCUUUGAUGUGAGAAGGAGAUACACAAACAAAAGUAGACUUGAUGGUCAGGUUUGUUUAUGCAGACUUGUUUGUUCCAACGAGGGUCAUCGAAGAAAAGUGCAAACUGGUAAUGCACCAAAGCGUUUUAGAGUUGAAAUAAGAACCAAUUGCCAAGCUCGUAUAUGUUUUCAAUUGGAUCGAGAGCCCGGAAAUUAUGAAGUAAGUGAGGUUGUGCUUGAAGACAGCCACUUGCUUCAAUUGCCACAAACCCGCCACUUGAUGAUAUCCCAAAGAAAGAUUUCAGAACGACAAGCUUUUGAAAUUGAAACCGCUGAUGAUUCCGGCAUUAUGUCACAAGCAGCACACGAAUUUGCUUCUCGUCAAGUUGGUGGACCAAUUAACCUUAGAUAUACUUGCCGUGACAAAACAAUCAUUUGUGAACCAAGCUACAGAGGGAGUUGGCUUUUGGAGAAGCUGGGAGUAUGUUGAAAUAUUUUCAUGACAAAAUUGCUGAGAAUCCAUCAUUCCAAUAUGCACUACACUUGGUUUGUGAGGAGAAUAUAACCAACAUAUUCUCGGAUGAUGCUAAAAUGAUCCUUGACUAUGCACAUUUUGGUGAUGUUGUCACUUUUGACACUAUUUUUUAGCACAAAUAAAGAGUAUAGGCCAUUUGGUGUUUUUCUUGGCCUCAAUCAGUUCAGAGAAACCACUAUUUUUGGUGCUGCCUUGCUGUUUGAUGAAACAAAGGGCUCAUUUAUAUGGCUAUUUGAGACUUUUCUAACUGCAUAUAAUGGAAUACAACCUAGAAUUAUUUAUACAGAUGAAGAUGCAACAAUGGGAAAAGCUUCAUGUAGUUGUCAAAUGUUCAAUAGGGCAGGAAUAUUGUGUGGAGAUGGUUUGAAAGUUCUUGAUUUGCUGAAUGUAAAGACAUUGCCAACACAUUAUGUCCUAAAGAGAUGGAUAAGAGAAGCACACAAUGGAAGUAUACAAUAUAGGCAAGGAAGGAAAGUGGUAGAAAAUCCACACUUUUCAUAGGAAAUGGUCCACAAAUGUCAGUGUGAAUGAUUUCUAGUGUUCCCGUGCUUCUGUUUGCAUCCUUUUUUAUUUAUUUUACACACUUUCCUUUAAUGCAAUCAAUGCAUUGUUCUAAGUCUGAGAACUUUAGUGGAGGAAGAAUCUCACUUUUAAUCA